GUGGGGAAUCUUGCGCAAUGGGCGAAAGCCUGACGCAGCCAUGCCGCGUGAAUGAUGAAGGUCUUAGGAUUGUAAAAUUCUUUCACCGGGGACGAUAAUGACGGUACCCGGAGAAGAAGCUCCGGCUAACUUCGUGCCAGCAGACGCGGUAAUACGAAGGGGGCUAGCGUUGCUCGGAAUUACUGGGCGUAAAGGGCGCGUAGGCGGACAGCUUAGUCAGAGGUGAAAGCCCAGGGCUCAACCUUGGAAUUGCCUUUGAUACUGGCUGUCUUGUGUUUGGGAGAGGUGAGUGGAACUCCGAGUGUAGAGGUGAAAUUCGUAGAUAUUCGGAAGAACACCAGUGGCGAAGGCGACUCACUGGUCCGGUACUGACGCUGAGGUGCGAAAGCGUGGGGAGCAAACAGGAUUAGAAACCCUUGUAGUCC
rnacentral:rRNA from 1 species